UGGCUAGGAACGGUUGUCGGUUUCCGUAAGGAAAUAACAGGGAAUUCGGCGCGGCUUUCAUCGGCUGCGAAACGAAACUGCCCCCGCAACUGUAGGCGGAAAGUCCAUCUCGAUCAUGCCACUGGGAUUAGCCCCGGGAAGGCCGAGACAGACGAUGACCCGUCAGUCAGGAGACCUACCGACACCCGUAACUAAAC
rnacentral:ncRNA from 2 species